rnacentral:ncRNA from 1 species
GGCCAAGUUUUUAAGGGCGCACGGUGGAUGCCUUGGCACCAGGAACCGAUGAAGGACGUGGGAGGCCGCGAUAGGCCCCGGGGAGCUGUCAACCGAGCUGUGAUCCGGGGGUGUCCGAAUGGGGAAACCCGGCAGUCGUCAUGGGCUGUCACCCGCUGCUGAACACAUAGGCAGUGUGGAGGGAACGCGGGGAAGUGAAACAUCUCAGUACCCGCAGGAAGAGAAAACAACCGUGAUUCCGGGAGUAGUGGCGAGCGAAACUGGAUGAGGCCAAACCGUAUGCGUGUGAUACCCGGCAGGGGUUGCGUAUGCGGGGUUGUGGGAUCUCUCUUCUGUCGUCUGCCGGCGGCAGGACGAGUCAGAAACCGUUGAUGUAGGCGAAGGACAUGCGAAAGGUCCGGCGUAGAGGGUAAGACCCCCGUAGUCGAAACGUCAGCGGCUCGUUUGAGAGACACCCAAGUAGCACGGGGCCCGAGAAAUCCCGUGUGAAUCUGGCGGGACCACCCGUUAAGCCUAAAUAUUCCCUGGUGACCGAUAGCGGAUAGUACCGUGAGGGAAUGGUGAAAAGUACCGCGGGAGCGGAGUGAAAUAGUACCUGAAACCGUGUGCCUACAAGCCGUGGGAGCGUCGCAUCGAGUGCUUGCACUUGGUGUCGUGACUGCGUGCCUUUUGAAGAAUGAGCCUGCGAGUUUGCGGUGUGUUGCGAGGUUAACCCGUGUGGGGAAGCCGUAGCGAAAGCGAGUCCGAAGAGGGCGACCUAGUAGCGCGCCCAAGACCCGAAGCGGGGUGAUCUAGCCAUGGGCAGGUUGAAGCGGAGGUAAGACUUCGUGGAGGACCGAACCCACCAGGGUUGAAAACCUGGGGGAUGACCUGUGGUUAGGGGUGAAAGGCCAAUCAAACUCCGUGAUAGCUGGUUCUCCCCGAAAUGCAUUUAGGUGCAGCGUCGUGUGUUUCUUGCCGGAGGUAGAGCACUGGAUAGGCGAUGGGCCCUACCGGGUUACUGACCUUAGCCAAACUCCGAAUGCCGGUAAGUGAGAGCGCGGCAGUGAGACUGUGGGGGAUAAGCUCCAUGGUCGAGAGGGAAACAGCCCAGAGCAUCGACUAAGGCCCCUAAGCGUACGCUAAGUGGGAAAGGAUGUGGAGUCGCAGAGACAACCAGGAGGUUGGCUUAGAAGCAGCCACCCUUGAAAGAGUGCGUAAUAGCUCACUGGUCAAGUGAUUCCGCGCCGACAAUGUAGCGGGGCUCAAGCGUACCGCCGAAGUCGUGUCACUGCAGCAUGAGACCUAACGGUUGUUGUGGUGGGUAGGGGAGCGUCGUGUGCCGGGUGAAGCAGCGCCGGAAGGUAGUUGUGGACGGUUCACGAGUGAGAAUGCAGGCAUGAGUAGCGAUACACACGUGGGAAACGUGUGCGCCGAUUGACUAAGGGUUCCUGGGUCAAGCUGAUCUGCCCAGGGUAAGUCGGGACCUAAGGCGAGGCCGACAGGCGUAGUCGAUGGACAACC